rnacentral:rRNA from 1 species
UACGGAGGGUGCAAGCGUUGUUCGGAAUUACUGGGCGUAAAGCGCGUGUAGGCGGUUUGGUAAGUCGAAUGUGAAAUCCCUGGGUUCAACCCGGGAACUGUAUCCGAAACUGCCAGGCUAGAGUCUCGGAGAGGAAGGCAGAAUUCCCAGUGUAGGGGUGAAAUCCGUAGAUAAUGGGAGGAAUACCAGCAGCGAAGGCGGCCUUCUGGACGAUGACUGAAGCUGAGACGCGAAAGCGUGGCGAGCAAACAGG